UUGCUUUGGUGGCAUAUAUACUAAAUUAGGAGCUAUGGAGAAGAUUGUCAGAGGCCCUGCCCAAGAAUGACAUGCAGAUUUUUGAACAAUUACCCACUUUA
ensembl:snRNA U6 U6 spliceosomal RNA